rnacentral:rRNA from 1 species
CCUACGGGUGGCAGCAGUAGGGAAUCUUCCGCAAUGGGCGAAAGCCUGACGGAGCAACGCCGCGUGAGUGAUGAAGGUCUUCGGAUCGUAAAACUCUGUUGUUAGGGAAGAACAAAUUUGUUAGUAACUGAACAAGUCUUGACGGUACCUAACCAGAAAGCCACGGCUAACUACGUGCCAGCAGCCGCGGUAAUACGUAGGUGGCAAGCGUUAUCCGGAAUUAUUGGGCGUAAAGCGCGCGUAGGCGGUUUCUUAAGUCUGAUGUGAAAGCCCACGGCUCAACCGUGGAGGGUCAUUGGAAACUGGGAAACUUGAGUGCAGAAGAGGAGAGUGGAAUUCCAUGUGUAGCGGUGAAAUGCGCAGAGAUAUGGAGGAACACCAGUGGCGAAGGCGGCUCUCUGGUCUGUAACUGACGCUGAUGUGCGAAAGCGUGGGGAUCAAACAGGAUUAGAUACCCUAGUAGUC